UACGAAGGGUGCAAACGUUGCUCGGAAUUAUUGGGCGUAAAGCGCACGUAGGCGGCCCGGCAAGUCGGAUGUGAAAUCCCUCGGCUCAACCAAGGAAGUGCAUCCGAAACUGCAGGGCUUGAGUACUUAAGAGGAUCGCGGAAUUCCCGGUGUAGAGGUGAAAUUCGUAGAUAUCGGGAGGAACACCAGUGGCGAAGGCGGCGAUCUGGGAAGAUACUGACGCUGAGGUGCGAAAGCGUGGGGAGCAAACAGG
rnacentral:rRNA from 1 species